rnacentral:snRNA from 1 species
AGGAGAAGAAUCAGCUCC